rnacentral:lncRNA from 1 species
UUUUUUUUUUUCUAAAGAGGUAACUUUCUCAACUUUGAUAAAUUGAAAAAUGCUUGUCCCGUUUCUUUUCUGUGGCCUUCUGCUUUUCUCAUCUAUUUGUUUUGAUGUAUAUAACUGUUCUAUAAUAUUUAUUAAGGACACCAGUUACUGAAGUAAAAGUACAUCAAUAAAUCAAUAAAAAUGUGCCAAUGUUUUACAGACUGCAUUCUCUCACACACACAAAUAGCAUGAAGUUUUCAAUGAUAUGAUCUAGAGUAGCUGCAAGUACGGCUGGGCCUGGAUGUCCCAAGUUUUACAAAGAGCUUAAAUCAUGAGAGUGCAAUAAGUCUCCAGAGUUACAAAACAUCCCAGAGCAGGAAUUAUGCUUUACUUCCAUGCUUUGAGUAUUUAAGGGAAGAGAGAUGAAAUAAGAAUGAUGAGAACAGUAGAAAAAAAUGAAGAGAUAAAAAGGGGAGAAAGACAAAGACAUCAAAGAAAUGAUCGGACUACUGAUUACAGAAAUGAUGGAUGACUGAUGAGACACAUAAGGAUUAUACCUGAGUACAAUUGCAGUAUGGAUGAGGAGUUAAAAACUGGAGUAUAUUGGGGAGAAAACUAAUUUUUUUAAACAAUUGAAUAGAUGUUUUAAAUGAUUUCAUAGUGUUUUAAAUUAGAAUUAAAAAAAUCAAUGCAGACUCCUGACUUUAAAAAGAAAUGUCUGGGAGUUCCUGUUGUGGCACAGCGGAUUAAGAAUCCAACUAGUAUCCAUGAGAAUGUGGGUUCAAUUCCUAGCCUCGCUCAGUAGGUUAAGGAUCCUGAAUUGCUGCAAGCUGUGGUAUAGGUCUAAACUUCAGCUUGGAUCUGGCAUUGCUGUGGCUGUGGCUGUGGCUGUGCCUAUGGUGUAGGCCAGCAGCUGCAUCUCUGAUUUGACCCCUAGCCUAGGAACUUCUAUAUGCCACAGGUGUAGACCUAAGGGAAAAAAAAAAAGGGAGGGGGGGAGAAAAAUGUCUUUUGGAGUUCCCACUGUAGCACAGUGGGAUGGGCUGCAUCUCUGGAGUGCUGGGACACAGGUUUGAUCCCUGACCCAGGCACCAUAGGUUAAGGAUCCUGCAUUGCUGCAGUUGUGGCUCGGAUCUGAUCCUUGGCCUGGGAAGGCCAUAUGACUUGGGGGUGGCCAAAAAAGAAAAAGAAAGAAAGAUCUUUCAAAUUUAAACACCCCCCCAAAAAAAUCUAAAAGAAAAAUGUACAAAAAAAAUUUUUUUUGCCAUUAAUAUUUUUCUUCAUUUAAAGGAACUAAGAUUCCUUAUAAAAUAGCUCAUUCCAUGUUUUGGGUCAGAGAAAGGUUAUAAUCUAGAACAUCUUCUUGUAUAUAUAAAGCAAAAAAGUUUUCUUUUUUGUGUGUGUUUUUAGGGCUGCAUCCACGGCAUGUGGCAGUUCCCAGGCUAGGGGUCUAACUGGAGCUAUGGCCUCUGGCCUACGCCACAGCCACAGCAAUGCCAGAUCGCAGUCUCAUCCACGACCUACCCCACAACUCACGGCAAUGCCAGAUCCUUAACAAUCUGAGCAAGGCCAGGGAUCGAACCCGCAACCUCAAGGUUCCUGGUUGGAUUCAUUUCCACUGCACCACAACGGGAACUCCCAAGAAUGUUUUCAAAAAUGCUUGUGAGUGGGAGUUCCCAUCGUGGCACAGCAGAAACAAAUCCGACUUGUAUCCAUGAGGAUUCGGUUUCCAUCCCUGGCCUCGCUCAGUGGGUCAGGGAUCCAGCGUUGUCGUGAGCUGUGGUGUAGGUUGCAGACAUAGCUUGGAUCCCAAGUUGCUAUGGCUGUAGUGUAGGCCAGCAGCUGUAGCUCCAAUUCGACCCCUAUUCUGGGAACUCCAAAUGGUGCGAAUGCAGCCCUAAAAAGCCAAAAAAACCCCAAAAUUUUGGAGAAGUGCUGAAGAAACAAUAGAACCAUCUUAAAAGGUCUUUUACCAGCCAAGAUCUAAAGAUUUGAGUAAAAAUGGGAAAAUGAUUAUAGAUCAUUGAAACUAUGAAAGUCUAUAAUGAUUCUCCAAAGGAAAAAGUUUGCAAUUUAGCAAUAGGUAGUUUGGCCAUAUAACGUGAACGUGAUAAUAUACAUAUGUUAAUUAUUUUAAAGUUGAAUAAAUACAGCUAAUACUAUUGGUUUUACAAAAAUUUAAACUAUAUAUUAGUUCAUAAAGCACAAACACACUUUUUCCCUAGUUGAGAAAUUAAGAGGGAUGAAUGGAGGAACUGGGAAUUAGCCAAGCAAUCUUGGAAAAAAAUAUUAACUAUACAAAGAACAGAAAGCCCUGCUUCACAUCAUCUGUCACACAUAACAACCAGGUAGAAAUGAGAUCCAACAUUUUAGUUGCAAAAUGACCAAAUAGAGAAUUCAAUGGAGUAUUUCAAGAUGAUGAUUUGCCAAAUGUCCUGAGGAAGACAGAAGACAGUUAAUUGAAUAGCUCUCCAUUCCCGUCUCAUGAAAGAUGAAACCUUUUAAUGGUCUUAUUCAUUAUAAUUAAUGAGACAAAAUAAGUUUGCAAAAAUGAACAGUCUAGGUCAACGAGUAUAUAAGAAGAAGAAACUGGGUUCUUCAAGGUGGCCAAGUGAAACAAAAACUAUUUCAGAAGAGGUAUUAGGUCACAUUCUAUGAGUAGCAAGGACUCUUAAAGUUUCAUCAACAUAUGAAAGGAGAGCUGGAAGUUCCCUGUAGCCUAAUGGUUGGGGACUUGGCAUAGUCACUGCUGUGGCUCAGAUUCAAUCCCUGGCCUGGGAACAUCCACAUGCUGCCAAUACAGCCAAAAAUAAAUAAAAAUAGAGAGACAGCCAGAAGGCACAACCAGGCCUAUGACCCAACUAAAAUUUAAUUGGCUGAAACCUGAGCUGGUCUAAAUAAAGUGCUUUUUCCUUUGGUUUCAUAUCUAGAAUGAAGCAGUAUUAAGUAUUCAUAAUAUUAUUCAACCCCAGGGCUGCCACUAGUUCUUUUGGAACCUUCGUACCAAUGAAAAAAAGAGAUCCCUUCCUUCUAGGUUGAUGGCUUUUCAGAGCAGAAGAAUUGUAUUUCAGCUCCUCCUCGCCCCUUUAGCCAGGCACCCUUGUGCAAAGCAGAGCCUGCUGUGGCUUCCUGUCCUUCUUAGGAAGGUUUAAGAAAUAAACAUGUGGUAAAAUUACCACAACCCCAGAAACAUAUAAGUGUAGGAAUGAUGAAGACAUUAAUUUUGACCUGCAGUAAUAAUACUUUAUAAGCAAUUUAAGGGCAGUAUAAAUUUUGUCAUUACUGUGACAUUUUGUGCAUAUUUUGUUUGCUUUUUAUUUUUAUUUUAUUUUUUCUUUUUAGGGCCACACCCAAGGCAUAUGGAGGUCCCAGGCUAGGGGUCGAAUCAGAGCUACAGCUGCCGGCUUACAUCACAGCCACAGAAACUUGGAUCCAAGCCACGUCUUCGACCUACACCACAGCUCACAGCAAUGCCAGAUCCCCAACCGAGCAAGGCCAGGGAUGGAACCCACAUCCUCAUGGAUGCUAGUUGGAUUCGUUUCCCCUGUGCCACAACAGGAACUCCUUGUUUGCUUUUAAAUAUAAACCUUAUAUUUAAAAUGAACUUUUCAAGAGUUCCCCGGUGGCCUAGUGGGUAAGAAUAAGGCAUCGUCACUGCUGUGGCUCAGGUCACUGCUGUGGCACAGGUUUGAUAACUUGGCCCAGACCUUCUGUAUGCAUGCCUCAGAAACAGCCAAAAAAGAAAUUAAAAUGAUAAAAAAAAAAAAAAACAAAACUUCUGGGUAUGUUGAUAAAAUAAGGUUUGAGAUCGAUGCUUAAACAUCAGGGAGGUAGUUCCCAUUGAGGUACAGUAGGUUAAUGAUCUAGCUUGUCUCUGUAGAGGUACCAGUUUUAUCCCUAGUGUGGCACUAUGGGUUAAGGACCCGCAUUGCUGGAACAGCGGCAUAGGCCGCAGCUCUGGCUUGGAUUUGAUCCCUAGCUGGGGAACUUCUAUGUGGCUCAUGGUGGCAGAAAAAAGAAAACAAAAACAAAAACCCAGCAACAAACCAGGAUUACUCUCUUCCAAUUGGUUAAAAAAAGCAACCUUGGACUGCUGUCUUCCAGUGGUGCACCAUCUUAGCACCAACCACCCAGGGGGCCACAGCUGCAAGGGUACCUUUUUUAAAGUACAGAAUCCAGCGUCUAACCUGAGACCUACACUUCAGGUCUCAAAAGGAUAAACUACAUACUGCACAAUAACUCCAACACUCAAAAAACACACACAGAUAAUAAUAGAUGUCCUUGAUCAAGGGCCCCCCUGAACUGACUACAAAUUAGCAGCCCCCUGAUGGGUAAAUUAUUCUUCAGGACAGUUGAUAGUGCCGCCAAGUAAAGCCAGAUCUUAGGGCUUGGGAUAAGGUUUUAAAAAAGCACUGCAUUAGGUGUUUGUGAUUUAGUCCCUAACUCAUUGUGUGACCCUUAGGCAGAUUACUUUAUUUUAGAGGCUUUUUUUAUAUCAUUUAUACAUCUCUAUCUUAUUUUAAAGGAUUGGAGUAAGAAUAAAAUAACAGAUGAAAACAUUUUUUGAGAAAGCAGUAACUCUUACAAAAACAAAAGAACAAAUGACCUCAUUCCAGAGGUUCCAUAAUUUUUGCCUGCCCUUCUCCACCACUCUUGCCAAGCCAUUCUCCUCACAGCAUCAAUUUACAGACCUGACGAUUUUCAGUUAAAGUCUCUCUAAGAUCUUUAACAGCACCGAAAGUAUAUGAUUCCCAUUAAUCCACCAAUCACAAGCAUUUACUAUGAAUUAUUAAGUGUUGGAAACAAACCAAAAAAAAGAGUAAAAUCUAGCAAAAUGAUCAAGUCCAGCAAUCAAUAAUGAUGGAAUGUAGUAUUAAAAGUUUAUAUAAAAAAUAAAAUAAAAAAGGAGUUCCUGUCGUGGCUCAGUGGUUAACGAAUCCGACUAGGAACCAUGAGGUUGAGGGUUAAGGAUCCAGCAUUGCCGUGAGCUAUGGUGUAGGUCGCAGAUUCGGCUCGGAUCUGGCGUUGCUGUGGCUCUGCUGUAGGCCAGCGGCUACAGCUCGGAUUAGACCCAUAGCCUGGGAACCUCCAUAUGCCAAGGGAGCGGCCCUAGAAAUGACAAAAAAACAAACAAACAAAAAAGUUUAUAUAAAGUCAUUGGGAAGUGUUGUUCUGGACAGUCCCUCUAGCCAACUCUAUUAUCAAUCAUAAAACACUUACCAAGCACUAUAAAGCUGAAAAAAAAGGCUGGUAGGAUACAGAGAAGUUUAAUAGUAUCCUGUGUUCUAAAAACCCACAAUCUAGUGUGGUAGGUAGUACAGAUGAUGUUAAAGCUAGUCUUUCCAGGGAGUUUCCGCUGUGGUUCAUUGGGUUACAAACCCAACUAGUAUCCAUGAGGAUGCAUGUUUGAUCCCUGACCUCGCACAAUGGGUUAAGGAUCCAGCUCUGCCCAUUAUCUGUGGUGUAGGUCACAGAUGCCGCUGAGAUCCAAUAUUGCUGUGGCUGUGGUGUGGGCCUGCAGCUGUAGCUCUGACUACUACUAACCUGGGAACUUCUUGUAUGCCACAGGUGGGGCCCUAAGAAGCAAAAACAAGCAAACAAAACCACGUUAGUGUUGCCAGACCUGGAUUGGAGUUGACUCCGCUAUUAGCUUACUGUACGACUUCUGGCAAGUAAAACUUUUGCUUCUCUAAACCUGUUUUCUCUCCUGUAAACUGGUGAUAAAAUAUACAGUACCUAUUCCUUAGAGUUAGUUUUGAGAUUCAAAUGAGGUAAUUUAAGUAAAGAACAGUUGGUAGCACAUAAGGGCUUGAUAAAUAGCCACAGUUCUUUUUGUGUCUGAACACAGUGCGGGGAGAUGAUGAGAGUGGGAUUCUCAUCAACACAAGAGCUAGCAAAGCAUACUGCAAUGUUGCAGAGCUGUUUCACUUUCUUCCUUUGAGACACAAGCCUCUUCCUCUGCUUCCUCCUCAGUAUUAGGCACUUUUUUGCUGUCCCAAAGUCCCAUGGAUUUAUACAGAACUUACUAUACAUUAAGCGUCCAAUUUCAAUGAGUAAGUCACUCCCUUCUUACUCCAACUACCACAGCUAUUGAGCAGCGUUUCUCACCCGAUUUAAAAAAAAAAAAGUGAGCCACACUUCAUCAAAUGUAAUUUAAACGUGGACUGCUUUUCUUUCCGACUACAAAGAAUGAACUCCUGCAAUGUACUUUGAAAUG